AACAUGAAUAACUCCUGUCACACCACCAUACUCUGCGGCCUCAGGCUUUGUGAAAGAGGGAAGAAGAUGGCAGAUAAGACGUCAAAGGAAAGAGAAGAGAAUGUCUAGGGGGAAAAAGAAGAUGCAUGACGAAGAGAAGAGAGACGAAUCUCAGCUGGUAGGGCUAUUCUGGUGAGAGCAGUUCCUGUUCUGAGACAGAAUUUAAGCCUUCAAAAACUCCAGAGUUUUGUCUUCUCAAUACCUCUUAAUUGUUCAUCCACGUGACUCAUUCAUAAGUUGACUGUUCUUAUAGAAUUAUGGAUCAUGUUUCAUUGGGAAGGGUAAUCACUAAGGUUUCCUUUAUCAUCUCUCAUGCACGAGGCAUAGAGGUGUAAAGAGGUCUACCUUCAACUGAAGGUAAGUGUGACAAAUGGAAAAUAAGAAACAGUUAUCUCUAACACUGGAGUACAUUAUAAUCCUCUUCCUCGUCUUAAGUCUCUAUUUUCCUUCCUUGCUAGGGUAAAUACCACACAGGAAAGAAUUACGGGUGUCUUACUUGUGGUUGCAUUCCCAGAGUCUACAAACACAAGGCACAUAGUGCUCAGUAAAUAUUUGUUCAUUGAUGGUUUGAAAGGGACAACUUAGGGGGACGAGCCACAGCACUUAGGCUAAAGGUGCUGUGGCUCAUCCCCUACGUUACGUUGCCAUUCAUCUGAUCAGUUGUGUUGGAGGCAACUUAAGUAAGAAAAUUGUUUUUAAUCUUUGGGUCGGUCCUUGGCAGGAUCUACUCAGUCAUUUUUUUUUUUUUUCCAGUUGGUAGUUUGGAAGUCCCAGCAGUGUAGCUUAUGGCUGGCAGUCAAUUAGUUGUGAAUUUAUUUUUAAUCUUUAGCAAAUGUCCCUGGUGAACAAGCACAGGAUGCAUCAUAAUUACCAUCAACUACUAUCUCUUCAGCUCCCCUGUGUGCCUGGCAAAAUACUGUGCAAAACAGAGGCAAAAUAUAGUUCUAGUCUAAAGAAGCUGACAGAGCAAAUAAAGACCAUUAAUUUUUUGCUUUAUUAAAAAAUAAUUAUUUUAGGUAGGGGAAUAAUUUUCAUAUUCUCUGGUAAAAUGCUUCAUGAAGGGGCAGAGUUUUAACCAAGAUUAAAAAAGAGGAAUAAUCAUAGAACAUAGAACAUACAAUGACAAAAGGGGUCCUUUGAUAACUGUGCAAGUUAAAUAACUAGUAAAUAAUAUGAUUACCAGGUAAGGAUGAUAGUUUGUUGAGGAGAAGAUGAGAGGAACAUUUUUGGUAACAUACUGGUGUUUCUGUAUGCUCAUUUAACUAAUUGCUUUAGAAUUGAUCUCAAAUAGCCAUAUUUAUAAUUAUGAAGAUCUCUGAUUUACUAAGAAACAAGAAAAGGAAUAACAUCUAUACCUUUUCCUCAUUCCCCAGUUAGAAACAAACAUCCACUGUACUGUAAAUAAAAUGGUGAAAACAUACUUCUACCUGAUUCAAAGUAACAUUUUGGUGGCACUAACCUCUAUCUAUGAAUAGACAUUAUCUAAACUUUUAGUGAAAUGCAUUUACUUGAGAGCAAAUGAGUAUUUGAUUUUUAACUAAUUCGGAUUAUUUUUUGCAUCUCUUUGGUUAUUUUGUGUGUAGAUAGCAACUCAUUUCUUGGCUGAUAAGAAUGAUAAACUUUGGAUAUCAUUGUGAUAUCAUAUCUGCUAUCAUAGUCCAAAAGACAUUUUUUGGGCAAAAAUGUCUGGGAAACGUUAAUAAUUAGUAAAAUCAUGUGGCUUAAAAAAACUCACUAGUGAAGGACUAUUAACAUUCCUUUCCCUUUUUUUAACCCUCUGAAAAUAAAAGCUCACUUCUGCUAAUGCACAGGAAAUACUCAUUCUUUUUUUUUUUUUUUUUUUUUUUGGCCCCUGAAAAAGAAUCAAAUUGAACUUAACUGCAUGUAUCCUAUAAAGAAAAGGCAAUUCUGAGGCUGUCUCCAUGGAUGAUUUGAAACUCCAGAAAAGCCAUGAGGUAAAUAGGAAUUACCAUCUUUAACAGCCCCAGGAAAAGAAAGAGGUGAAUAAACUUUCUGCCAACGUGAGGACAUAAUAAAGAAAUAUUUAGGCUCACUAGAAUCUAAUAUUUCCACAUCUUUUUAAAUAAGAAACUUUGAGGUGCCUUUUUUUUUUUUUUUUCAUUUUAGGGCCACACGGGCAGCACAUGGACAUUCCCAGGCUAAGGGGUCAAAUCGGAGCUGCAGCUGCCAGCCUAUACCGCAGCCACAGCAACGUGGGAUCUGAGCUGUGUCCGUGACCUACACCAUGGCUCACGGCAACACUGGAUCCUUUAACCCACUGAGUGAGGGUAGGGAUGGAACCUUCAUCCUCAUGGAUACUAGUUGGGUUCAUUACCACUGGGCCACAAUGGGACUUCCUGAGGUGCACUCUUUAUGUGUAACUGUGAUGAGGUUUAAUACAGAACAUGACAUUCUGUUAUUUCAGAAAUGUGACUAAAAAGAGAAAAAGAUCUGUUUAGGACAAAAUAAAGAACACAGCCCAGAGCCAUUCAAAUGCAAAUGUGUGUGAAUAUGAGCAUAUUUUAACUUUUUCCUUAAAAUCAGACAAAUGACGGCUGAGAGUCCGCUCCUCUGCUUGAGGGAAGCAGUGCUUUUGGUCUGGUUUGUGACUCAGGGGCCACCUGCUCCAGUUUACAGAGAGAGGAUCUUCCCACCCGCUUACACUGUUCUUCACUCAGGCAGACAGUGUGAUGCUCAGGGGCAGGAGGCUGGGUUGGUAGAAAGAUUAAGAGUUCAGGAAUCCGUCAGGCCUAGUUUGGACUCCUAAUUCUACCUCACCAUGUGGUCUUGGGUCUGUCCCUUAGGCUUCCGGAGACCCAAUUUCUUUAUCUGUAAAAUAGGAAUAACAGUGUCUUCCUUAUUGGAGUUUUGUGAGGAUCAAAUGAGACAAUAGAUGAACUGGUUUUAGAAGAAUGACUUGAUAUUGUCUUGGUACAAUGGGAUCAUUUGUGAGUUAUAUUUCCUCAAUUAUUCAUUCACUGAUUUACUAACUCACUUGAAAAAUAUGAACUGAGCCCCUGCUAUGUGAAAGGUUCAGUUUCCAAGGCUGGAUUAGAUAGAUGUGGUCCCUGCCCUCCCUUAGUUACAGAAUUAUGGAGGCAAAUAACAAAUAGACAGUGAUUACAAUACAGUGAGUUACACUAGGUUUCAAGUCACUUGUAGGCAGUAUGGUCCUCAAGUUUGAGAACAAUUUACUUUUAUAUCUAAAUUAGGACAAUUAUGCUUUUAUUUUCAUUUAUUUACAGUCCACUAUGCUUUUUUUUUUUUUUUCUCCUUAAAAUGAUUGGCGGUAGAAACACUACACAAAAAUAAAUUUCCACAGGAACACCAUAUGCUGACCCAGCAUAUUGUUGGUGCUAAGUUAAAAGUAAUUGUGAUGAUGAAGAUGAUGAGAUGGUGAUGAUGGUGAUGAUGAGGUGCCUUGAAACAAUGCUACUGAGAAUGUGAUCCUGGCAGUGUUUCAUUGAGACUGAAUAUUAUAAAAGUUAAUAAUAGGAUGACUCAAAUAUUCUGUAUUUUUCUGGUCUGUAAACUCUAAUUACAGAAACCCAGGAACUUAUGCCCCCUCAAGAAUAUCAUUGUAUGUAUUAUAAAUGAAAUUUUGGAAACUGAACCAAUAUUUAGAAAAUGUAUCAUUUUCAAAGAGAUUAUUCUCAUAAAUACUUUAUAAAGAUGGACACACAUUUUGGGGACCUUAGGAAAGGAUUCCUGAGCUCUCAAUAUACUUGUCUGAGGCGGUAGGCCAGGUGACACUACUGGAUCUCCUGCUGUGGCUCUAACUUAGGGCAUUUGGACACCACUGAUCCCCAGAUCUUGACAGACAAGAAGCAGAGACACCAUGAGGCUUACUGAGAGUACCCAUUUGGCAUGACCUAUGACAAACUCACUGCUAACAUCAUACUCAAUGGUGAAAAGAUGGAAGCUUUUCCUCUUAAGAUCAGUAACAAGACAAAGAUGGCCAAUCUCACAACUUUUAUUCAACACAGUGCUAGAAGUCCUAGAUAGAGCAAUUAGGCAAGAAACAGCAAUAAAAGAC
rnacentral:lncRNA from 1 species